AUCCCUUCCGAGUUGAAAGGUUACAACGUCAUCCAUGUGUUUCUUCCACAACAAACACAACUGUAUCCUUACUGAUUAUAUUGUUUGUGCAAAAUUUAAGAAAAUGUCUGGAAAAACUGGAACAAAAGAUCUUUUGAAGAUGGAUUUAUACGGUUUACUUGGAAUCGACAGCUCUGCGACGCUCAAAGAGGUCAAGAAAGCGUAUCGACAGAAAGCUCUGACGUGCCACCCAGACAAGAACCCAGACAACCCAAAAGCUGCUGACCUGUUCCACCAGCUGUCCCAGGCUCUGGAGGUUCUGACGGACGCUGCAGCCAGGGCUGCCUAUGACCAGGUGCGUGCUGCCAAGAAGCAGGCAGAGCAGAGGAACAGGAACCUGGAUGACAAGAGGAAGAAGAUCAAGCUUGAUUUAGAGGCCAGGGAGCGACAGGCUGAGGCCCAGAGCCAGGAGGAGGUGAAGAUCACUAGAACACUUGAGGAAGAGAUCGCUCGUCUCAGGGAGGAGGGCUCCAGGCAACUGCAAGAGGAGCAGAGACUGAUCAAGGAGCAGAUCCAGAGAGAAUUACAAGGACACACACACAACACAGGCUGCACACACACAGAUUCCAAGAGCAACCAACUCUCCAAGAGCAAUGUGACCCCUAAAUUAAAAUUGAAGUGGAAAUGUAAAAAGCAGGAUGACACAGAUGGAGAUUACUCUCAAGACGUCCUCUCUGCUCUCCUCAGUAAGUAUGGUGAUGUUUUAAAUGUCCUCAUAUCCAGUAAGAAGAAGGGAAGUGCUGUGGUGGAAUUCGCAACCGUCAGAGCAGCUGAACUGGCUUUCAAGAACGAGAGCGGUUUGACGGGGAACCCUCUGAAGAUCUCGUGGUUGGAAGGACAGCCUGAAGUCAUCUCUCCAGUGUCUCUCGGCCCCGGCCUGUCCUCACCUGCACAGAUUUCCUGUGCUGGUCUCUGUUAGCUUGUCCAAAGCCCCCUCAAGCUAACACAGGCCGUUCUGGUUGACUGGAGACCCAGAGAACCAGAGUGGUAUCGGAUGAAGCCAUUGACUCGCACACAGACAUGCAUGUGCUGGCCGGGGUUGCACAACACUGAUAACUUGUUGCCGUUCCGAUUCCCACGCCUCCGGCUUGCUACAUCACCAGCUGGAAUGUGGGCUCCCUGAGCAGCGAGCGGGACUACGAGAGCGUGGUGCUGAUGAAGAUGAGGCAGGCGGCAGAGAGACAGAAGCUUAUUGAGCAGAUGCAGAGAGAAGACGAAGAGGGGUCCUAGCAGAGGAACAACACUCACACCUGUCCUCAACAGCAGCUUUAGUUUCAUAAAGCCUGCUUCCUCUGGGGUUCAAAUUUAUUUUCAUGAUUAUAAUUUUUUAUAAUGACAAAUCGACUGUAAUAAAUAUCAUGUUUACUGAA